AGCAGUCGCGGUAAUUCCAGCUCCAAUAGCGUAUAUUAAAGUUGUUGCAGUUAAAAAGCUCGUAGUUGAAUUUCGAGACCGGUUUACUGGUCGUGCUUUUGUACGUACUGGUAUUAUUGGUUUCUCCUUUCUGACGAAUCAUAAUGCCAUUAAUUUGGUGUUUUGGGGAAUCAGGACUGUUACUUUGAAAAAAUUAGAGUGUUUAAAGCAGGCUCACGCUUGAAUACAUUAGCAUGGAAUAACGAAAUAGGACGUUUGAUUUUAUUUUGUUGGUUUCUAGGAUCGACGUAAUGAUUAAUAGGGAUAGUUGGGGGCAUUAGUAUUCAAUUGUCAGAGGUGAAAUUCUUAGAUUUAUUGAAGACUAACUACUGCGAAAGCAUUUGCCAAGGAUGUUUUCAUUAAUCAAGAACGAAAGUUAGGGGAUCGAAGACGAUCAGAUACCGUCGUAGUCUUAACCAUAAACUAUGCCGACUAGGGAUCGGAUGAUGUUAAUUUUUAAUGACUCAUUCGGCGCCUUACG
rnacentral:rRNA from 1 species